rnacentral:lncRNA from 1 species
UUCCAGUCAUUUUUUUAUUCUUCUUCUUAUUCGAUUAUUCAUCUUAUUCUUUAAUUUUUCUUCUUCUUACUCUUUUAUUUUUCUUCCUCUCAUUCUUUGAUUUUUUGAUUCUUUUUUGAUUCUUUUUCGAUUUUUGUCUUCUUUUAUUUUUGAUUCUUCUUCGAUUGUGCUUCUUCUUCUUCUUUGAUUCUUCUUUUUUCUUUUUUGAUUCUUUUUAUUUAUUUUCAUUGACA